CUUGGUUACUGAUAUUAUUUUGAACCGUCAUGUCAAUUAUUGGUUAUAUAUCGACUGAAAAUGAAAGCUAUUUCACUAUUCUGUGCACACAAUGCUUGAAACAUUAAUCAUGGUUUUUGAAAGUAUUGGAGCAUUGUACACAGAAUAGGUGAAAUAACUUUCAUUUUCAUUCGAUACGCAACUAAAAUUGUAAAUAUAGUUCAGUCUCAUCUUGGAAGCCAAG
rnacentral:pre_miRNA from 1 species